rnacentral:misc_RNA from 1 species
UCUCCGUUGGUGAACCAGCGGAGGGAUCAUUACUGGAAUCGCAAGAUCCAACAGCCCGGGGACCCUACCCACACGUUGUCUCGGCGGCAGCCCGGCCCCGGCGCCGGGCGUUGCGCCCCCCGGCGACCCCCUACCCUGUCUCUGCGGCGUAGCAUCCCAGAGACCCAGAAAACAAGUCAAAACUUUCAACAACGGAUCUCUUGGCUCUA